rnacentral:rRNA from 1 species
GCAUUUAUCCGUGAACUGCGAAUGGCUCAUUAAAUCAGUUAUCGUUUAUUUGAUAGUACCUUACUACUUGGAUAACCGUGGUAAUUCUAGAGCUAAUACAUGCUAAAAGCCCCGACUUCGGAAGGGGUGUAUUUAUUAGAUUAAAAACCAAUGCCCUUCGGGGCUCUUUGGUGAUUCAUAAUAACUUAACGAAUCGCAUGGCCUUGUGCCGGCGAUGGUUCAUUCAAAUUUCUGCCCUAUCAACUUUCGAUGGUAGUAUAUGGGACUACCAUGGUUUCAACGGGUAACGGGGAAUUAGGGUUCUAUUCCGGAGAGGGAGCCUGAGAAACGGCUACCACAUCCAAGGAAGGCAGCAGGCGCGCAAAUUACCCAAUCCCGACACGGGGAGGUAGUGACAAUAAAUACUGAUGCAGGGCUCUUUUGGGUCUUGUAAUUGGAAUGAGUACAAUUUAAAUCCCUUAACGAGGAACAAUUGGAGGGCAAGUCUGGUGCCAGCAGCCGCGGUAAUACCAGCUCCAAUAGCGUAUAUUAAAGUUGUUGCAGUUAAAAAGCUCGUAGUUGAACCUUGGGCCUGGCUGGCCGGUCCGCCUCACCGCGUGCACUGGUCCGGCCGGGUCUUUCCUCCUGGGGAGCCGCAUGCCCUUCACUGGGUGUGUCGGGGAACCAGGACUUUUACUUUGAAAAAAUUAGAGUGUUCAAAGCAGGCCUAUGCUCGAAUACAUUAGCAUGGAAUAAUAGAAUAGGACGUGUGGUUCUAUUUUGUUGGUUUCUCGGACCGCCGUAAUGAUUAAUAGGGGAUGGUCGGGGGCAUCAGUAUUCAAUUGUCAGAGGUGAAAUUUUUGGAUUUAUUGAAGACUAACUACUGCGAAAGCAUUUGCCAGGAUGUUUUCAUUAAUCAGGGAACGAAAGUUAGGGGAUCGAAGACGAUCAGAUACCGUCGUAGUCUUAACCAUAAACUAUGCCGACUAGGGAUCGGGCGAUGUUAUUUUUUUUGACUCGCUCGGCACCUUACGAGAAAUCAAAGUCUUUGGGU